GAUGAACGCUGGCGGCGUGCUUAACACAUGCAAGUCGAACGAAGCACCUUAUUCUGAUUUCUUCGGAAUGAAAAAUUUGGUGACUGAGUGGCGGACGGGUGAGUAACGCGUGGGUAACCUGCCUCAUACAGGGGGAUAACAGUUAGAAAUGACUGCUAAUACCGCAUAAGACCACAGCACCGCAUGGUGCAGGGGUAAAAACUCCGGUGGUAUGAGAUGGACCCGCGUCUGAUUAGGUAGUUGGUGGGGUAACGGCCUACCAAGCCGACGAUCAGUAGCCGACCUGAGAGGGUGACCGGCCACAUUGGGACUGAGACACGGACCAAACUCCUGCGGGAGGCAGCAGUGGUGAAUAUUGCACAAUGGGGGAAACCCUGAUGCAGCGACGCCGCGUGAGCGAUGAAGUAUUUCGGUAUGUAAAGCUCUAUCAGCAGGGAAGAAAAUGACGGUACCUGACUAAGAAGCACCGGCUAAAUACGUGCCAGCCGCCGCCGUAA
rnacentral:rRNA from 1 species